UACGUAGGGUGCGAGCGUUGUCCGGAAUUAUUGGGCGUAAAGAGCUCGUAGGCGGUCUGGUCGCGUCUGCUGUGAAAACCCCGAGGCUCAACCUCGGGCCUGCAGUGGGUACGGGCAGACGUAGAGUGCGGUAGGGGAGAAUGGAAUUCCUGGUGGUAAGCGGUGGAAUGCGCAGAUAUCAGGAGGAACACCGAUGGCGAAGGCCAGUUCUCUGGGCCGUAAC
rnacentral:rRNA from 1 species